CCGACCUUAGCUCAGUUGGAAGAGCGCGAGACUGUAAUGGCUAAAAUUUCAUCUUGAGGUCGCCUGUUCGAACCAGGCAGGUCGGA